UGGUCAAACACCAAGCCUGUCAGAAUUCAAGAAGCAUUUGGACAAUGCUCUCAGGCACACAGUGUCACUUUGGAGACAGUCCUGUGCAGGGCAAGGAGUUGGAUCCAAUGAUCCUUGCACCACCUGGCAGCUAUUGAUAUGAAGUUAGGAGAAUGAAGAUGAAUGGUCCAGAGGAAUAUUAAGUUACAUGGUUUCCUUCCCAAAGCACCUGUCUGGAGAUGGAUGGGCGCUUCAUCUGUUUCUGGAAGCCACCACUGCUGAAUGAGAAUCAGCUGGUUGUGUUGGAAUACAGAGGUAGUACCCAGAGGGAAGCCUGUGCUCUGCAGAGCCUGACUUCACAAGACACUGUGAGCAAGAGUGUCAAGAGACACUCUCUCUACACUCUGCCUUGUUCUGGAUGUGCAACUGCUCCCCACCCCUAGCAGAGAGCUUCUGCACAGAGAUAAAGAACUUUCUCCUAAUAAGCAACAUUUCUCAUUCCACCCUCUGCAACUAAACAUAUGCUCAGCUUGACUAAGACUUCCCGCUCAAUCCUGA